UGCCAGACUCCUACGGGAGGCAGCAGUGAGGAAUAUUGGUCGAUGGGCGGGAGCCUGAACCAGCCAAGCCGCGUGAGGGAAGAAGGUACAGCGUAUCGUAAACCUCUUUUGUCAGGGAACAAAGGCGGGGACUAGUCCCCGGAUGAGGGUACCUGAAGAAAAAGCAUCGGCUAACUACGUGCCAGCAGCCGCGGUAAUACGUAGGGGGCAAGCGUUAUCCGGAUUCACUGGGUGUAAAGGGAGCGUAGACGGCGGCGCAAGUCUGGAGUGAAAGCCCGGGGCCCAACCCCGGGACUGCUCUGGAAACUGCGGCGCUGGAGUACGGGAGGGGCAGGCGGAAUUCCUGGUGUAGCGGUGAAAUGCGUAGAUAUCAGGAGGAACACCGGCGGCGAAGGCGGCCUGCUGGACAGCAACUGACGCUGAGGCGCGAAAGCGUGGGGAGCAAACAGGAUUAGAUACCCCGGUA
rnacentral:rRNA from 1 species